CAACCUGCCGAUGACUCGGGGAUAGCCUUUUGAAAGAAAGAUUAAUACCCGAUGGCAUAGUUCUUCCGCAUGGUAGAACUAUUAAAGAAUUUCGGUCAUCGAUGGGGAUGCGUUCCAUUAGGUUGUUGGCGGGGUAACGGCCCACCAAGCCUUCGAUGGAUAGGGGUUCUGAGAGGAAGGCCCCCCACAUUGGAACUGAGACACGGUCCAAACUCCUACGGGAGGCAGCAGUGAGGAAUAUUGGUCAAUGGACGAGAGUCUGAACCAGCCAAGUAGCGUGAAGGAUGACUGCCCUAUGGGUUGUAAACUUCUUUUAUACGGGAAUAAAGUGUGGCACGUGUGCCUUUUUGUAUGUACCGUAUGAAUAAGGAUCGGCUAACUCCGUGCCAGCAGCCGCGGUAAUACGGAGGAUCCGAGCGUUAUCCGGAUUUAUUGGGUUUAAAGGGAGCGUAGGCGGACGCUUAAGUCAGUUGUGAAAGUUUGCGGCUCAACCGUAAAAUUGCAGUUGAUACUGGGUGUCUUGAGUACAGUAGAGGCAGGCGGAAUUCGUGGUGUAGCGGUGAAAUGCUUAGAUAUCACGAAGAACUCCGAUUG
rnacentral:rRNA from 1 species